UACGAAGGGGGCUAGCGUUGUUCGGAAUCACUGGGCGUAAAGGGCGCGUAGGCGGCCAUAUAAGUCGGGGGUGAAAGCCUGUGGCUCAACCACAGAAUUGCCUUCGAUACUGUAUGGCUCGAGACCGGAAGAGGUAAGUGGAACUGCGAGUGUAGAGGUGAAAUUCGUAGAGAUCAAGAGGAACACUCGUGGCGAAAGCGAGCUACUGGACAAUUCCUGACGCUGAGGCUCGAAGGCUAGGGUAGCGAAAGGG
rnacentral:rRNA from 1 species